rnacentral:rRNA from 1 species
UUGAUUUACGGUCCUGCCCUUUGUACACACCGCCCGUCGCUGCCCGGGACUGAGCCAUUUCGAGAAACUUGGGGACUGUCGAUUGUCGGUGCGUUCGCGCAUCGCCUUUCGUUAGAAACCAAUUUAAUCGCAGUGGCUUGAACCGGGCAAAAGUCGUAACAAGGUAGCUGUAGGUGAACCUGCUGCUGGAUCAUUACACUUUACCAUGUGAUGGUUACAUUUCGAAAGUGCCAAAACACACUAUUAUUUAUUAAGUGUUGUGUUUUGUACGCGCAGCUCUUUCCGCUGUGGAACGGCUGGCGCUGGUGUCUGCGCGUUGUUGAGCAGUUGUGUUUUGCCUUGUCCGUGGCUGUGCUGAGACAACGUGUUAGGACCUGUGCGUGUUGAUAUACGCCUGGUUUAAGACUUAAUGAGCCCAUGAGACGGGACGCCAGCAUUUCUUUUUUCCAUUAUAUUUUUUUGUGCCUAGAAAAAAAUUCUAGCCUUACCGGUGGAUCACUCGGUUCGUGGAUCGAUGAAGAACGCAGCUAGCUGCGAUAUUUGGUGCGAACUGCAGAAACAUUGAGCACUAAAAAUUUGAAUGUAAAUUUCUCCAUUGGAGUCAUAUCCUCUGGAACGUCUGGUUCAGGGUCUUAUCUUAACAAACAACACAACAUUGUUUUGAUUGAAACAUUUUGUUCGCAGGGAAUUGCUUUCUGUGUCAUGCACACUACUUCGUGCGUGUUUUAUGUGUGCAUGUGCCGCAAGCAAUUUUUCUUUCAAUUUUUGACCUGAACUCAGUCGUGAGCACCCGCUGAACUUAAGCAUAUCAGUAAGCGGAGGAAAAGAAACUAACAAGGAUUCCCUUAGUAACGGCCGAGUGAAA